rnacentral:rRNA from 1 species
GAUGAACGCUGGCGGCGUGCCUAAUACAUGCAAGUCGAGCGAACAGACGAGGAGCUUGCUCCUCUGACGUUAGCGGCGGACGGGUGAGUAACACGUGGAUAACCUACCUAUAAGACUGGGAUAAAUUCGGGAAACCGGAGCUAAUACCGGAUAAUAUAUUGAACCGCAUGGUUCAAUAGUGAAAGACGGUUUUGCUGUCACUUAUAGAUGGAUCCGCGCCGCAUUAGCUAGUUGGUAAGGUAACGGCUUACCAAGGCAACGAUGCGUAGCCGACCUGAGAGGGUGAUCGGCCACACUGGAACUGAGACACGGUCCAGACUCCUACGGGAGGCAGCAGUAGGGAAUCUUCCGCAAUGGGCGAAAGCCUGACGGGGCAACGCCGCGUGAGUGAUGAAGGUCUUCGGAUCGUAAAACUCUGUUAUUAGGGAAGAACAAAUGUGUAAGUAACUAUGCACGUCUUGACGGUACCUAAUCAGAAAGCCACGGCUAACUACGUG